rnacentral:rRNA from 1 species
GAUGAACGCUGGCGGCGUGCAUAACACAUGCAAGUCGAACGAAGUAGCGGACGGGUGAGUAACGCGUGAGUAACCAGCCUUAGAGAAGGGGAUAGCCUUUGGUAACGAAGAUUAAUACCCUAUACUCUAAGAUGGGCUUGCGUCUGCUUAGUUAGUUGGUGAGGUAACGGCCCACCAAGACAGCGAUCAGUAGCCGGCUUGAGAGAGUGUACGGCCACGUUUGGACUGAGACACGGCCCAGACUCUACGGGAGGCAGCAGUGGGGAAGUUUGCACACUGGGGGAAACCCUGAUGCAGCGAGGCCGCGUGAUUUAGAAGUCCUUCGGGUUGUAAAAAUCUUUUCUAUGGGAAGCGGUACCAUCGGAAUAAGGACCGGCUAAUUACGUGCCAGCAGCCGCGGUAAUAC